AUAUCAAUAAGCGGAGGAAAAGAAACCAACCGGGAUUGCCUUAGUAACGGCGAGUGAAGCGGCAAAAGCUCAAAUUUGAAAUCUGGCGUCUUCGACGUCCGAGUUGUAAUUUGAAGAAGGCAACUUUGUAGCUGGUCCUUGUCUAUGUUCCUUGGAACAGGACGUCAUAGAGGGUGAGAAUCCCGUGUGGCGAGGAUCCCAGUUAUUUGUAAAGUGCUUUCGACGAGUCGAGUUGUUUGGGAAUGCAGCUCUAAGUGGGUGGUAAAUUCCAUCUAAAGCUAAAUAUUGGCGAGAGACCGAUAGCGAACAAGUACAGUGAUGGAAAGAUGAAAAGAACUUUGAAAAGAGAGUGAAAAAGUACGUGAAAUUGUUGAAAGGGAAGGGCAUUUGAUCAGACAUGGCGUUUGCUUCGGCUUUCGCUGGGCCAGCAUCAGUUUUAGCGGUUGGAUAAAUCCUCGGGAAUGUGGCUCUGCUUCGGUAGAGUGUUAUAGCCCGUGGGAAUACAGCCAGCUGGGACUGAGGAUUGCGACUUUUGUCAAGGAUGCUGGCGUAAUGGUUAAAUGCCGC
rnacentral:rRNA from 1 species